UAUAAAUAGACAAAGUUUAUCUGACUGAGUCGGGAAAACCUGCUAGACUUCAAUGUUUAACAUCCCACUGUCUAGAACGUUUAUGAUGUAGUUUUGUUCUCAAUAAAACAAAAGUGUACUUUAAAUAACAUCGCCUAAAGCUUGCCCAAAAUGACCAUGAAAAAUCAAAGAAUCUUCUUUCUAACCUUCACCAUAACUCUGUUCGUUUCAGUUGUAGCCUGGAGUCGCGAGACGCAUUUUAGAUUAAGAAAUUUUUCAGAAGAUGACAUUAUCACAACAGUCGUUACAGGAUUCGAUAGUUUCGAUUUCGAAAAAAACAAUGGCCCUCAGGAUAAACUCCAAAAUCUUUCUAUUCCGACGAAUUCUUCGGUAAAGUAUCAGAUUGAGGUAAACCACUUUGCGUCCAACUGUCCCUUUACCAUGACGUUAUGGUUUUCCGAUUUGACGAGCGACUGGUUUCGAAUUAACCAGAAAUUUGCCAUUAAAAUGGCGAAACCUGAUUUUUCGCAUUCUGGAAACAGGACAAUAAGCUUUUCGAGAAAAGGCAAAACUCUUACCGUUACUGUGAAAGACAAAGAAUAAUUUAUGUUGUAAAAACAAGAAUUUUAAAAUAGAAUGUAACUCGCAUAAGGAAAAAUGUUUUUGCAAACAAAUUUUUCAAGAUUGCUAGUUGAUGUGAUAAAUAAGCAUGCGAAGAAGUCAGUACAUUGAUAAGAUGGUGAAUAAUAUUUUUAUUAUUUUUAAAUAAAUUAAAUUUUAAUUUAUCACUUAACUCGAAACAAAACCAGUUUGCCUUCACUGAGUGUAUUAAAUUUUUAAAAUAAUUUCAUUUUAAUUCCUAUUAGAGAAUGUGAAUUUAACCUUU